AACUCCGUUGACCAAUAAGGAU
rnacentral:snRNA from 1 species